rnacentral:rRNA from 1 species
GAUGAACGCUGGCGGCGUGCAUAACACAUUCAAGUCGAACGGACGAGACCCUUCGGGGUCGAGUUAGUGGCGGACGGGUGAGUAACGCGUGAGCAACCUGCCUUACAGUACGGGAUAACGUUUGGAAACGACCGCUAAUACCGUAUGAAGCAUAGGGGACGCAUGUUCCGUAUGCCAAAGAUUUAUUGCUGUAAGAUGGGCUCGCGUCUGAUUAGAUAGUUGGUGGGGUAACGGCCUACCAAGUCGACGAUCAGUAGCCGGACUGAGAGGUUGAACGGCCACAUUGGGACUGAGACACGGCCCAGACUCCUACGGGAGGCAGCAGUGGGGAAUAUUGGGCAAUGGGGGAAACCCUGACCCAGCAACGCCGCGUGAAGGAGAAGGGCCUUCGGGUUGUAAACGUUCUUUACCAGGGACGAAGGACGUGACGGUACC